rnacentral:rRNA from 1 species
UACGAAGGGGGCUAGCGUUGUUCGGAAUUACUGGGCGUAAAGCGCGCGCAGGCGGCCAUCCAAGUCAGGGGUGAAAUCCUGGAGCUCAACUCCAGAACUGCCUUUGAUACUGAGGAUCUUGAGUUCGGGAGAGGUGAGUGGAACUGCGAGUGUAGAGGUGAAAUUCGUAGAUAUUCGCAAGAACACCAGUGGCGAAGGCGGCUCACUGGCCCGAUACUGACGCUGAGGCACGAAAGCGUGGGGAGCAAACAGG